UCCGUUUGAUCCUGCCAGAGGUUACUGCUAUCGAGGUUCGACUAAGCCAUGCGAGUCGAAUGUAGCAAUACAUGGCGUACUGCUCAGUAACACGUGGACAACCUACCCUUAGGUCGGGGAUAAACCCGGGAAACUGGGUAUAAUACCCGAUAGAUCUCGGCUGCUGGAAUGCAUCGAGAUCGAAAGCUCCGGCGCCUAAGGAUGGGUCUGCGGCCUAUCAGGUAGUAGUGGGUGUAGCGUACCUACUAGCCUACGACGGGUACGGGUUGUGAGAGCAAGAGCCCGGAGAUGGAUUCUGAGACACGAAUCCAGGCCCUACGGGGUGCAGCAGGCGCGGAAACUUUACAAUGCUGGAAACAGCGAUAAGGGGACCUCGAGUGCCAGGUUACAAAUCUGGCUGUCGUGAUGCCUAAAAAGCAUUGCAUAGCAAGGGCCGGGCAAGACCGGUGCCAGCCGCCGCGGUAACACCGGCGGCUCGAGUGGUAACCGUUAUUAUUGGGUCUAAAGGGUCUGUAGCCGGCCGGAUAAGUCUCUUGGGAAAUCCAGCAGCUCAACUGUUGGGCUUUCAGGAGAUACUGUCUGGCUCGAGGCCGGGAGAGGUGAGAGGUACUUCAGGGGUAGGGGUGAAAUCUUGUAAUCCUUGAAGGACCACCAGUGGCGAAGGCGUCUCACCAGAACGGACCUGACGGCAAGGGACGAAAGCUAGGGGCACGAACCGGAUUAGAUACCCGGGUAGUCCUAGCCGUAAACGAUACUCGCUAGGUGUCGGCCACGGUGCGACCGUUGUCGGUGCCGUAGGGAAGCCGUGAAGCGAGCCACCUGGGAAGUACGGCCGCAAGGCUGAAACUUAAAGGAAUUGGCGGGGGAGCACCACAACGGGUGGAGCUUGCGGUUUAAUUGGAUUCAACGCCGGAAAUCUUACCGGGACCGACAGCAAUAUGAAGGCCAGGCUGAAGACUUUGCCGGAUUAGCUGAGAGGUGGUGCAUGGCCGUCGUCAGUUCGUACUGUGAAGCAUCCUGUUAAGUCAGGCAACGAGCGAGACCCA
rnacentral:rRNA from 1 species